CCCUUCUUUUAAAAAGCGCCAUGCUAAAAUCACCAGCUCAAGGCCUUCUGGCCUUGCUCUGGUGUUCAUGCUAGUACUGGUUAAUCUUUUAAGAAGGAAGAGCAAAAGCACACGGUCGGAAAUGAGUCUAGGACAGACCUCUUUCUUAAUGUCCGGUGUCCAAGGUCUCGAGAUUUUGUGCCAUACAU
rnacentral:snoRNA from 1 species